rnacentral:rRNA from 1 species
UACGUAGGGUGCGAGCGUUGUCCGGAAUUAUUGGGCGUAAAGAGCUCGUAGGCGGUUUGUCACGUCUGCUGUGAAAUCCCGAGGCUCAACCUCGGGCCUGCAGUGGGUACGGGCAGACUGGAGUGCGGUAGGGGAGAAUGGAAUUCCUGGUGUAGCGGUGGAAUGCGCAGAUAUCAGGAGGAACACCGAUGGCGAAGGCAGUUCUCUGGGCCGUAACUGACGCUGAGGUGCGAAAGCAUGGGGAGCGAACAGG